CUGAAAUUGCAGGUAUGUGUGUAUGUAUGUCCAUAAUUCUAUUCCCACUGAUGUUUGGGUAGGGAACUGUUUUAAUUGUAUAGUUUGAUAAUGGACAAAGUAGAAAAGAAAAAGUAUAAUUUAGAUAUCAGGAUUGCGGCGAAAAAAAAGCAAAGUCCUAAAAGAAAAUAGGAAGAAAGACAAGUCGGAAGUCAGGCUAUCAAGGGCAAAGUAAUAGAAGUCCAACUGGGUGCUGUGGGCUGCACAUGCAGUCACUAAUCCUGCAUUAGAAGUGUAUAUCUAUAAAUGUCUAAUGGAUGGAGGAAAAAUAAGAGGUCUAAUUUGCAUAUUGAUAUUUGCAGGGGAAAUGCAUGAAAG
rnacentral:misc_RNA from 1 species